rnacentral:rRNA from 1 species
GACGAACGCUGGCGGCGUGCCUAACACAUGCAAGUCGAACGGGGUUAAUAUGGAAGUUCCUUCGGGGACGGAAGCAUUAACUUAGUGGCGAACGGGUGAGUAACGCGUGAGUAACCUGCCUUACAGAGGGGGACAACAGUUGGAAACGACUGCUAAUACCGCAUAAUGUCUAACCGAGGCAUCUCGGAUAGACCAAAGGAGCAAUCCGCUGUAAGAUGGACUCGCGUCCAAUUAGAUAGUUGGUGGGGUAACGGCCCACCAAGUCGACGAUCAGUAGCCGGACUGAGAGGUUGAACGGCCACAUUGGGACUGAGACACGGCCCAGACUCCUACGGGAGGCUGCAGUCGAGAAUCUUGGGCAAUGCGCGAAAGCGUGACCCAGCAAUGCCGCGUGAAGGAAGAAGGCUUUCGGGUUGUAAACUUCUUUUACCAGGGACGAAGAACGUGACGGUACCUGGAGAAAAAGCAACGGCUAACUACGUG